rnacentral:rRNA from 1 species
CCUACGGGAGGCUGCAGUGAGGAAUAUUGGUCAAUGGACGAGAGUCUGAACCAGCCAAGUAGCGUGAAGGAUGACUGCCCUAUGGGUUGUAAACUUCUUUUAUAUGGGAAUAAAAUGUUCCACGUGUGGGAUUUUGUAUGUACCAUAUGAAUAAGGAUCGGCUAACUCCGUGCCAGCAGCCGCGGUAAUACGGAGGAUCCGAGCGUUAUCCGGAUUUAUUGGGUUUAAAGGGAGCGUAGGUGGAUUGUUAAGUCAGUUGUGAAAGUUUGCGGCUCAACCGUAAAAUUGCAGUUGAAACUGGCAGUCUUGAGUACAGUAAAGGUGGGCGGAAUUCGUGGUGUAGCGGUGAAAUGCUUAGAUAUCACGAAGAACUCCGAUUGCGAAGGCAGUUCACUGGACUGCAACUGACACUGAGGCUCGAAAGUGUGGGUAUCAAACAGGAUUAGAUACCCGUGUAGUC